UGGCUCUCGCAUCGAUGAAGAACGCAGCGAAAUGCGAUACGUAAUGUGAAUUGCAGAAUUUUGUGAAUCAUCGAAUCUUUGAACGCAUAUUGCACUCUCUGGUAUUCCGGAGAGUACACCUGUUUCAGUAUCAAAAAUGUCUUCCAAAGUUUUGGUUUGUUUUUAUAUAUACCAAGUCUUAUGGGUUUUGGGUUUUGCAGAACGUUUCGUUCGGCUGGCCUUAAAUUAUUUUAGCCAUAAAAGUCUCGGAUAGGGCGUAAUAGUUGGUACUUUUGGGUCCAUCCCUUUCGCUGAAGCCAAUCUUUUUAACUUCUGGCUCAAAAAAUAUAUGGAAAAAUGAAAUAUAUAUAUAUUUCAUCAUUGUUUAGAUCUGAAAUCAGGUGGGACUACCCGCUGA
rnacentral:misc_RNA from 1 species